AGACCCGAAACCCGGUGAUCUAGCCAUGGGCAGGUUGAAGGUUGGGUAACACUAACUGGAGGACCGAACCGACUAAUGUUGAAAAAUUAGCGGAUGACCUGUGGCUGGGGGUGAAAGGCCAAUCAAACCGGGAGAUAGCUGGUUCUCCCCGAAAGCUAUUUAGGUAGCGCCUCGUGAAUUCAUCUCCGGGGGUAGAGCACUGUUUCGGCUAGGGGGCCAUCCCGGCUUACCAACCCGAUGCAAACUGCGAAUACCGGAGAAUGUUAUCACGGGAGACACACGGCGGGUGCUAACGUCCGUCGUGAAGAGGGAAACAACCCAGACCGCCAGCUAAGGUCCCAAAGUCAUGGUUAAGUGGGAAACGAUGUGGGAAGGCCCAGACAGCCAGGAUGUUGGCUUAGAAGCAGCCAUCAUUUAAAGAAAGCGUAAUAGCUCACUGGUCGAGUCGGCCUGCGCGGAAGAUGUAACGGGGCUAAACCAUGCACCGAAGCUGCGGCAGCGACGCUUAUGCGUUGUUGGGUAGGGGAGCGUUCUGUAAGCCUGUGAAGGUGUGUCGUGAGGCAUGCUGGAGGUAUCAGAAGUGCGAAUGCUGACAUAAGUAACGAUAAAGCGGGUGAAAAGCCCGCUCGCCGGAAGACCAAGGGUUCCUGUCCAACGUUAAUCGGGGCAGGGUGAGUCGACCCCUAAGGCGAGGCCGAAAGGCGUAGUCGAUGGGAAACGGGUUAAUAUUCCCGUACUUGGUGUUACUGCGAAGGGGGGACGGAGAAGGCUAUGUUGGCCGGGCGACGGUUGUCCCGGUUUAAGCGUGUAGGUGUGUGUUCCAGGUAAAUCCGGUU
rnacentral:rRNA from 5 species